GACGACGCUGGCGGCGUGCCUAACACAUGCAAGUCGAGCGGGGUUGAGGCGAGAGGUAACUCGAACUUCUACCUAGCGGCGGACGGGUGAGUAACGCGUGGGCAACCUGCCUCAAGGUUUGGGAUAACAGCCCGAAAGGGCUGCUAAUACCGGAUAUGCCUAUGGCCUCGCAUGGGGCUAUGAGCAAAGGGGAAACCCGCCUUGAGAUGGGCCCGCGUCCCAUCAGCUAGUUGGUGAGGUAACAGCUCACCAAGGCGACGACGGGUAGCCGGCCUGAGAGGGUGACCGGCCACACUGGGACUGAGACACGGCCCAGACUCCUACGGGGGGCAGCAGUGGGGGAUCUUGCACAAUGGGCGAAAGCCUGAUGCAGCGACGCCGCGUGAGCGAAGAAGGCCUUCGGGUUGUAAAGCUCUGUCUGGAGGGACGAACAAAAUGACGGUACCUUGCGAACAAGUCCCGGCUAACUACGUG
rnacentral:rRNA from 1 species